UACGGAAUGUGCAAACGUUAUUCGGAAUCACUGGGCUUAAAAGAGUCCGUAGGCGGCAUGUUAGGUGAGGUGUGAAAUCCCCCGGCUCAACCGAGGAAUUGCGCUUCAAACCGGCGUGCUAGAGGAAGAUAGAGGUGGGCGGAACUGAUGGUGGAGCGGUGAAAUGCGUUGAUAUCAUCAGGAACACCGGAGGCGAAGGCGGCCCACUGGGUCUUUUCUGACGCUGAGGGACGAAAGCUAGGGGAGCGAACGGG
rnacentral:rRNA from 1 species